UACGGAGGGUGCAAGCGUUGUUCGGAAUUACUGGGCGUAAAGCGCACGUAGGCGGAUAUUUAAGUCAGGGGUGAAAUCCCAGAGCUCAACUCUGGAACUGCCUUUGAUACUGGGUAUCUUGAGUAUGGAAGAGGUAAGUGGAAUUGCGAGUGUAGAGGUGAAAUUCGUAGAUAUUCGCAGGAACACCAGUGGCGAAGGCGGCUUACUGGUCCAUAACUGACGCUGAGGUGCGAAAGCGUGGGGAGCAAACAGG
rnacentral:rRNA from 1 species